GUUGUUGUUGUUGUUGCUAUUUCUUGGGCCGCUCCCGCGGCAUAUGGAGGUUCCCAGGCUAGGGGUCGAAUCGGAGCUGUAGCCACCGGCCUACGCCAGAGCCACAGCAACGCCAGAUCCAAGCCGCAUCUGCAACCUACACCACAGCUCACGGCAACGCCGGAUCGUUAACCCACUGAGCAAGGGCAGGGAUCGAACCCGCCACCUCAUGGUUCCUAGUCGGAUUCGUUAACCACUGCGCCAUGACGGGAACUCCAGGCUGUGUUUUAAAAUCAAGAGACUCUGCUGACCUUAAAGUAGAUGUUUGUUAAAUGGCUACAUCAGUUAUUUUGUACACUUUAGAAUGUAAUUAGAGCAUCAGUGGAUUUAUUUCCAAGGUAAAGCUUCUAUCUAUAAUGAUUAUAAUUGCAAUUACAUACAUUGUCAGAAUUGUAAAUGCAGUAUUCCUGAAUUUCUUUAUAAACCUGUAGCUGGAGAACUGACUCAUUAUUCUAAGCAUGCAGCAGUUUGCAGUGAUUCAUGUAAGACACAAUAGCAGUAAAUGAAUGGAUUAUAAAUAACUUAUGUCUUGACUCCUGCACCCUUUAGAAGGCUGACCCACAUGGCAAAGGAGAUUUUCAGAAAUGGUUUUGCUGCUACGUGUGUCAUCACAAUCUAAAACCCCACUUUAGAUUUUUGGCGCAGUGUCUCUCAUCUUAUCAGAAAUGAAGAUCACCUGAUGCAUGUUUAUCUCCCUAGUAUUAUAACUCAUCACCCAUACCAUCAAAUCCUGAUUUUCCAUCUUCCUUUUAUCGAGUAAACUGCUGCGAUACACAGCUCCUGCCAGUAUGGAAUUGUGGACUGAAAUUCUGACCCAAUUAAGUGCUCAUAUCCUACAUGUUCCUUCAGAUCAAAUUCAAAGAAGCAAUUAAACAGUAUUUUAUAAUGACUUUUCUUUCAUUUUUCCUAUGCAACGUAUUAGUUGUUAAAGACACACUCUAUUUUCCUUAUAAUUACAGCCACUUUAGAAAUAAAAAAGAUGACCUGAAUUGUGUUUUGACAGAUUCUACUUAAACCUUGAAUAAAGACAAGAUAUUUAUGGAUAAAUUUAACAUACAAACCUCAAUUAUAUAACCCUUUCCAAAUUUACUCUAAAAAUUGUGCUGCCUCAAAUCUCUUGUCUUAACUAAAACAUAAUCACAAGGCAAAUAAAAACCCCUUUGUAGCCUCCUAAGAUCAGCUCACCAUUCCUGUAUAUUUUGCAAGAUCCGUUGGAAACUGGUGCAAACACUCUUUGAAAGUCCCAGUACCCCAAUAUACCAUUUGCUACAGUCCUCUUCCUGGUAGGUCCCUCUAUCAAAUCUGUCUAGGCAUUUGAUACUUAAUCCCAACUCUUUUCUUUAUUCCCAAACUUCAGUAACAGGAAACUCAGCCAAUCAUCUGUGUUACCCAUCCAGUCCUUUCCUCAACUUCCUUAUCUUUAGUAACUUCCACUUCCACUCUACUUUAGUAAUUAAGUGCUAGGUCCAUUUUGAAUAGGCUGUCUUUGCAUCUUUUCUCCACCACGUGCCAUCUGUGCAAAUUCCUUAAGCACACUGUAAAUCAUUUCCCUUACCUGUACUACUGGGGAUGAUCAAAUAAUAGCGCUAAGAUCAUGAACUUCUAUUCAUCAUUUCAUGUAAAUUAUCACCAGGAUUUUAUUCUGAGUUCUAUUUCCUUUACAUUUUUUAAGGAAUAACAUAUUAACUUGUUGCUUUGGUAAUGUGAAGCAUUCUUAGUCUGCCUCCUGCUUUUCUUUCUCGAUUCCCAUUAUAACCCACCUUCACUCACCUUUUACCAUGGCUAUUUGGAACAUUUUCCAAAGCUCUUUUGCAGAUCUAGUCAGUAUAUAUGCACUAGAAUGCUCACUUUUGUUCUGGAAAUCUCAAGUCAUUUUUCACAUACAAGCUGAAAUGUUCUAAGCAAAACUUGUACAGAUUUACUUUAGUCAGUUUGAUAAUUCCCCCACUAUGCAUCCACCAUGCAUUUGUUGUCUCUGUUUUUAAUUUUUAAAACGUAUUUCAUUAACCUUUUAAUGAUAUACGACAUCCUACAAAAAUCUAGAGACUUUACAAGUACACAGCCUGCUACAUUUUCAUACCUAUGUAACCACUGAUCAGGACAAAAAGUAGACUCAUAUCUGAACACAUUAAAUAGCCGUUUUCCUGGUCUUACCUCGUCUUGUUCUACUCACCAAAAUCAGUCAGCUUCCGAAACAGCAUAUCCAUUCUAAAAAUAGUUUACUUCCUUCUGCUUCUAAAAUUUCCAACUAAGUUAUGAACUAUUCAUUUUUCAAAUUCCCAUUACCCCUAGCAGGAACUUUCUCAGACAUUUUAGAAGCAACUAUUACCCAGUAAGUCAAAGGAGGAAAAAAUGAUAUUGUUAUACUUGCUUAGUUCACUUGUUUGUAUAUAUGGUAUGAUCUGUGAUUAAACUUUUUAGCACAGAUGAUCAGUAGUACUUGGUUGGCUUUUGAACCACUCAGGGAUUUCUUCCCUUGGAAAUGGUGACCUAGAUACUAGGAUACCACAUCCUAACUACAGAUAUGAAAAUAUUGUUGUGUGAUCACACUAGAAAGCAAGCUGAAUAUCAUUUCUAGAUUUAUUGUACAAGUUUCUAAAAGGCCAGGGAGCUGGUGAUUUUUUUCAAGCUUAAAAAUUGGGUUCUAUAAGUAUUUCCUUGGUUGUUUGAUAAUGAACAUUUCCAAUUGGGGCAGAAUUUAGACUGACAUUCAUUUUCAUUAUUAUCAUACUGUUUGAUAGCACCUUUGUGGGAAGGAAGCUUAUAGUAUUAAUUUAAAAUAUCCAUUAAUUGUGAACAAUGCAAUCAUUUUAGGUCAGUUCACAGCAGCAUAUCAAGCCACUCUUUUUUCACAAUAUUUAUUGCCUAUUUGUUUAUCUCCUCUCCCUUCCAACACAGAUUUGUCUUCAUUAACAAGAAAUUAUUUUUGACCAAAAAAUAAAUGACCAAAAUUCCAGAGUUUUCUUUUAAUAUCCAACGUAGGUUAAUCUUGCUUCCAGAUAGAGAAAAAACAUGGGGUCUA
rnacentral:lncRNA from 1 species